AACGAACGCUGGCGGCAUGCCUAACACAUGCAAGUCGAACGAAGGCUUCGGCCUUAGUGGCGCACGGGUGCGUAACGCGUGGGAAUCUGCCCUUUGGUUCGGAAUAACAGCUGGAAACGGCUGCUAAUACCGGAUGAUGACGAAAGUCCAAAGAUUUAUCGCCAGAGGAUGAGCCCGCGUUGGAUUAGGUAGUUGGUGGGGUAAAGGCCUACCAAGCCGACGAUCCAUAGCUGGUCUGAGAGGAUGAUCAGCCACACUGGGACUGAGACACGGCCCAGACUCCUACGGGAGGCAGCAGUGGGGAAUAUAGGACAAUGGGCGCAAGCCUGAUCCAGCAAUGCCGCGGGAGUGAUGAAGGCCCUAGGGUUGUAAAGCUCUUUUACCCGGGAAGAUAAUGACUGUACCGGGAGAAUAAGCCCCGGCUAACUCCGUG
rnacentral:rRNA from 1 species